rnacentral:tRNA from 1 species
GUGACUUAAUAGUUUAAUUGGUAAAGUGCUCGUCUGGCAUACAAGAGCUGUGGGUUCGAAUCCCAUUUGAGAACA